GCUCAACCGAGGAAGUGCUUCGAAAACUGGUAAACUUGAGUGCAGAAGAGGAAAGUGGAACUCCAUGUGUAGCGGUGGAAUGCGUAGAUAUAUGGAAGAACACCAGUGGCGAAGGCGGCUUUCUGGUCUGUAACUGACGCUGAGAUUCGAAAGCAUGGGUAGCAAACAGGAUUAGAUACCCUGGUAGUCCAUGCCGUAAACGAUGAGUGCUAAGUGUUGGAGGGUUUCCGCCCUUCAGUGCUGCAGCUAACGCAUUAAGCACUCCGCCUGGGGAGUACGACCGCAAGGUUGAAACUCAAAGGAAUUGACGGGGGCCCGCACAAGCGGUGGAGCAUGUGGUUUAAUUCGAAGCAACGCGAAGAACCUUACCAGGUCUUGACAUACCAUGAAAAGCUUAGAGAUAAGUCUUUCCCUUCGGGGACAUGGAUACAGGUGGUGCAUGGUUGUCGUCAGCUCGUGUCGUGAGAUGUUGGGUUAAGUCCCGCAACGAGCGCAACCCUUAUUAUCAGUUGCCAGCAUUCAGUUGGGCACUCUGGUGAGACUGCCGGUGACAAACCGGAGGAAGGUGGGGACGACGUCAAACCAUCAUGCCCCUUAUGACCUGGGCUACACACGUGCUACAAUGGUCGGUACAACG
rnacentral:rRNA from 1 species